UGCGAGAGUGAUGAGUUGCACAUCUGGUGGAGCUGAGUGUCAGGUGACAUUUGCACCACUCUGAAAUGUCUUGAUGACAUAACUAAGUGCACAGGGGCCAUCUGACUCGCA